UACCAGCAGUUCAAGUUGCAUCCCUUUUUAUUGGGUCUAAAACAUCCGUAGCUUGUUUAUUAAGUCUCUUGUGAAAUCCUAUGUCUCAAGCAUGGGGCUUGCAGGAGAUACUGAUGGACUAGAGAUCGGUAGACGUAAGGAGUACGUCGGGGGUAGCGGUUAAAUGUGUUAAUCCUCGGUGGACUAACGAUGAGCGAAGGCACCUUACGAGGACGAAUCUGACAGUGAGGGAUGAAGGCCAGGGGCGCAAAACGGAUUAGAUACCCGCGUA
rnacentral:rRNA from 1 species